UACGGGGGGGGUAAGCGUUGUUCGGAAUUACUGGGCGUAAAGGGCUCGUAGGCGGCCAACUAAGUCAGACGUGAAAUCCCUCAGCUUAACUGGGGAACUGCGUCUGAUACUGGAUGGCUUGGAUUCGGGAGAGGAAUGCGGAAUUCCAGGUGUAGCGGUGAAAUGCGUAGAUAUCUGGAGGAACACCGGUGGCGAAGGCGGCAUUCUGGACCGACAUUGACGCUGAGGCGCGAAAGCUAGGGGAGCAAACGGG
rnacentral:rRNA from 1 species